GGGACUGACGGUAGCGUAGGAAUAAGCAUCGGCUAANUCCGUGCCAGCAGCCGCGNUAAUACGGAGGAUGCAAGCGUUAUCCGGAUUCAUUGGGUUUAAAGGGUGCGCAGGCGGGGAUGUAAGUCAGUGGUGAAAAACUGCCGCUCAACGGUAGUCGUGCCAUUGAUACUGCAUCUCUUGAGUUUGGAUGAGGUAGGCGGAAUGUGCAGUGUAGCGGUGAAAUGCAUAGAGAUUGCACAGAACACCAAUUGCGAAGGCAGCUUACUAAUCCACGACUGACGCUGAGGCACGAAAGCGUGGGGAGCGAACAGGAUUAGAUACCCUGGUAGUCCACGCCGUAAACGAUGUUCACUCGCUGUUUGCGAUACACAGUAAGCGGCUUAGCGAAAGCAUUAAGUGAACCACCUGGGGAGUACGAUCGCAAGGUUGAAACUCAAAGGAAUUGACGGGGGCCCGCACAAGCGGAGGAACAUGUGGUUUAAUUCGAUGAUACGCGAGGAACCUUACCUGGGCUUAAAUGUAGAGUGCAUGCGGUGGAAACACCCUUCCCUUCGGGGCUCUCUGCAAGGUGCUGCACGGUUGUCGUCAGCUCGUGCCGUGAGGUGUCGGGUUAAGUCCCAUAACGAGCGCAACCCUUACCGUUAGUUGCCAACAGGUCAAGCUGGGGACUCUAGCGGGACUGCCACCGUAAGGUGAGAGGAAGGUGGGGAUGACGUCAAAUCAGCACGGCCCUUAUGUCCAGGGCUACACACGUGUUACAAUGGCCGGUACAGAGGGCAGCUACUCCGCGAGGAGAUGCUAAUCUUUAAAGCCGGUCUCAGUUCGGAUUGGAGUCUGCAACCCGACUCCAUGAAGUUGGAUUCGCUAGUAAUCGCGCAUCAGCCAUGGCGCGGUGAAUACGUUCCCGGGC
rnacentral:rRNA from 1 species